rnacentral:misc_RNA from 1 species
GGUUCUGCAUUCACACAUCCGAUCA